rnacentral:rRNA from 1 species
GGACGGGUGAGUAACGCGUGGGUAACCUGCCUUGUACAGGGGGACAACAGUUAGAAAUGACUGCUAAUACCGCAUAAGCGCACAGGAGCACAUGCUCUAGUGUGAAAAACUUUAGUGGUACAAGAUGGACCCGCGUCUGAUUAGCUAGUUGGUAAGGUAACGGCCUACCAAGGCAACGAUCAGUAGCCGGCCUGAGAGGGUGAACGGCCACAUUGGGACUGAGACACGGCCCAAACUCCUACGGGAGGCAGCAGUGGGGAAUAUUGGACAAUGGGGGAAACCCUGAUCCAGCGACGCCGCGUGAGUGAAGAAGUAUUUCGGUAUGUAAAGCUCUAUCAGCAAGGAAGAAAAUGACGGUACUUGACUAAGAAGCCCCGGCUAACUACGUGCCAGCAGCCGCGGUAAUACGUAGGGGGCAAGCGUUAUCCGGAUUUACUGGGUGUAAAG